GGCCUUGUACACACCGCCGUCACACCAUGGGAGUGGGUUGCACCAGAAGUAGAUAGCUUAACCUUCGGGAGGGCGUUUACCACGGUGUGAUUCAUGACUGGGGUGAAGUCGUAACAAGGUAACCCUAGGGGAACCUGGGGUUGGAUCACCUCCUU
rnacentral:rRNA from 1 species